AUGGACCGACCACCCAGGACCCAGCGGAUUACCCGGCUGUACAAUUUUUAUGGUAACCCCGACUCCUGUCGGACUUUUUUCUUGGAUGUGGUGAGAUUUUAUGGCCUGGACGCUUUGGACAAGGACUUGAUUAUUAAUACGGUGCUCCUCCUAAGGGGAAGAGCCCUGCAAUGGGCCAGCCGUUACCUUGAGGAAUAUCCUUUAGAGGAGUUGGUUUUCUGGGAUCUUGCAGAGGAUCUAGAGGAUGCUUACAGCAGCCCACAAGCUCCCUCCAUUUCAAUGGACCACAAUCUGUCAGCAAGCGCCGUGGUAAGAGCUGCCCUCUCGGCAUCUUCGAAGCACCACACCUCCACAUCUUCGCCUGGUCCUGACAGCACCACCUCCCCGUCUCUGACAGACAGAACCGGCAUUGUCUCAUUCACCCCUGUCCAUGUAGGUGCCGUCUCAGCAUCUCUGAUGGGCCAAAUCGCCACACCCUCACCUGAUCCUGACAGCGCCACCACUUCAUCUCCGGUGGGCUGUAACUGGUCCUCUGUACCUGCCGACGUCACCCCCAUACCUCCAAGGAGUCGUGCUCGUCGCAGACGUCACCGCCAUCACCCACAAUCAUGCAAAGCCAGAGUUGUGCCGCCUAUUUCAAAGGCCCCUGCUCUGCAACCCACGUCUGAGUUCCAUCUGCCAUCACCACAUCCAGCUUCAGCGGUGGUCCCGGAGGACGCUUCGCAUCCUGCCUCAGCAGUGGUCCCGGGGGACGCAUCGCAUCCUGACUCGGCGGUGGUCCAAGAGGACGCAUCGCAUCCUGCUUCGGCGGUGGUCCAAGAGGACACAUCGCAUCCUGCUUCGGCGGUGGAGGACGCACAGGCUCCGGUCCAGCCCAUCCAAGAGGCUCCGGUCCAGCCCGUCCACGAGGCUCCGGUCCAGCCAAUCCACAAGCUCUGGUACAGCCAGUCCGAGAGGCUUCGUCCAGUCCGAUGCCCCCAGGCCAGAAGUCGAUGCUCCCAGGCCAGAAGUCGAUGCCCCCAGGCCAGAAGUCGGCGCCCCUAG
rnacentral:lncRNA from 1 species